UACGUAGGGACCAAGCGUUGUUCGGAUUUACUGGGCGUAAAGGGCGCGUAGGCGGCGUGGCAAGUCAUCUGUGAAAUCUCCGAGCUUAACUCGGAACGGUCAGAUGAUACUGCUGUGCUAGAGUACAGAAAGGGCAAUCGGAAUUCUUGGUGUAGCGGUGAAAUGCGUAGAUAUCAAGAGGAACACCUGAGGCGAAGGCGGGUUGCUAGGCUGAUACUGACGCUGAAGCGCGAAAGCUAGGGUAGUAAACGGG
rnacentral:rRNA from 1 species